rnacentral:rRNA from 1 species
AAUCAACGCUGGCGGCGUGCCUCAGACAUGCAAGUCGAACGCGAAAGGUUCCUUCGGGAGCCGAGUAGAGUGGCGCUCGGGUGAGUAACACGUAGGUAAUUUGCCUUUGGGUGGGGAAUAACAAUCGGAAACGGUUGCUAAUACCGCAUAAUGCAGCGGCUCGACAUCGAGACAGUUGUUAAAGCGGGGGAUCCUUCGGGACCUCGCGCCUAAAGAGAAGCCUGCGGCGGAUUAGCAGUUGGUGAGGUAAUGGCUCACCAAGGCGACGAUCCGUAACCGGCCUGAGAGGGCGGACGGUCACACUGAC